rnacentral:lncRNA from 1 species
UUAUGCAUGAGUCAUACAUCAAAGUCAUCCAAACUUACAUAUAUAAAAAUAAAACAUCUCAAGGAUAUACUUGUGUAAGUUGAAGAUGUAAAAAAAAAAACAACUUUAGCAUUUACAAUAGUUUUCACAAAAACGUUAGCCAUGUUUUUGACGCUACACCAAAACGGCACGAAGUUGAAGUUUCUCAAUACGAACCCGGUCGGGUCGAAGAUUCGGGUCACCGUUCUCGGGUUCCCGCUCUAAUUCACCCUCUUUUUUC